rnacentral:lncRNA from 1 species
AGAGCAUUAAGCCAGCUGAGAAAUCUCCAAGGUCAUUUCAAGGACUGAUAUUCCACUCUGUUGCUUUCCUUGAGAACUUGUGACUUUCGACGCUGUACAGCCUGAGACUGCUGGAAAGAGAGGGUUUUGUGACAGGAGCACCUGGAGCUCCCUAGAGGGUUUAGUCUUGAUCAAGGGCAAGAGAACCCUUGGGGCAGCCAGAGACUGAGCAGCAGGGAUUCAGACAACUCUUGGCAACUGUAAGGAGCUGGCUGCAGCAUUGAAGGGAGAAUUUCACAGUGCGAAUUUUGAACUCUGCUUGGGAACCUCUUUGAAGAUCAGCCAGAAGAUGAUGGAAGUGCAAAUAACAUGCAGAAGCUCAAGGCUGUCCUUCUGUAGUUCAUGCUGAGCCGGCAGUCAUUCUCCCAACAUGACAGAAGUCAGAUUACCCUGAGCAUCAGCCUUUUACAGCACAGAACAUGGGACUUCAUUAAAUCUCAGCAUUUGCAUAUUCAUAUUGAGGUCUGGGAAGCUGCCAGGCUCGUUCAUCUCGUAAUCAGCUCUGGAUAUGUGGAUGUGGAGGAGGCUCCCAUAAGCCCAGGGAAGUUAAAUUAUAGAGCAUCUAUCAACUGCUGCAAGAAAUGUACUCAAAGAAUCAAAGAACAGCCUGCUGAGGACCAAAAGCCUACAUUUUCAUGGGCAAAAUCUAGCCAACAAGGGAAACCCAAGGCAAAAACAUACUUGAGACUACUCAAGUGAAACUUCACUGCUUCUGUCCCCUUCUCUCUCAUCUUUCCCAACCUCAAGAUGAAAAGUAACUCCAAAAAAUUGGGGGAAGAAGUGAGUGAGAAAGAGUUGUAGACAUGAAUAGAUAUAGUGGGAUCUGAGGUAGAGAUAUCCAUGCUCUGCUGAAGAAAGUCUUGAAGGACAGAGAACUCCAAAUAUUUUGAGGGCAACAGGUGUAGAGGGAAGCUUUGCCUCAUUUUUCCUGAUGGAGAUAAAGAAAAGGAAAAGUCCUCAGAGUAAGUCUGGAUUCAAAUAUGUCCAGAAAGCCUCCCGCAAUUUCCUUAUGCUAGGAGUAGAUGGUUUCCUUUUUCUCUAGUAAUCAGGAAGGGGUGAAGAGGUGUAUGAAGCCUCACAGAGUUUCUGUGGUCUCAGCAUAGACAAGAAGAACAGCAUGAUUCCUGUGCACCCAAGAGAGGCCCAAGCAUUAACUGAGUCCUAACAUGACCCAUGGAGCCACCAGCCAAGAUUCCAGGGUGUCACGGAAGCAAUCUGCAUGGGCAAACACACACCGACCAGACUGAACAAGGCUGCUUCAGAAGAUGCCAGGGAGGGAAGACGGCAGCUACCCAGAACAGAUGCCGUCCUUGGUCACCUGGCACUCUGCAAGCUCCUUGAAAUAUUACAGAUACACCGAGAAAAGAGGGAGUAAUUUUUUAGGUGGGUGGAAGGAUAGUCACCUAGUGGAAUUCGGAUUUAUGUUAGACAUAUCAGUUGGGGAAAAUAUUUCAAAAAUUUAUUUCUUAAACAUCUGAGUUUUGGGCUGAAAUGAAAACUUAUUAUAAAAAUUCAAACUAUACCCGUGACAGUACAUUUUAAAUGAAGACAGAUGAUUAAAGCCUUUAACUAUCCCCCUUCAACCCUGGAUGAGCAAUGCUUUUAGUCCAUAAGCCUCUUUAUGAGAGCACUUGUACUUGCCAUGCUGUCCGUACAGUCUGUCUUCCAGCCGAGGACUGUAUUUAUGGCUCAAACACAUUAGGAGCUAGAGAAAUAGGCUCUCUUCUUGGCUUUGGAUGACACAUUGCUUCCCUCACUACUUCUGUGAGUGCCACCAAGUGCUGGUGCUCAAGAACCUGGUUUUUUUACCCCUUAUUUCCUCCUAUUUUUAGAUCUUUCUCAAAGACACUUUUAUUAGCCUUUAAUUCAUUCCUGACUCUCUUUGUUCCCACUUUUUGUUUUGUAAUAACCAGUGGUAAAAUCCACUUUGCCCUCACAUUUUCACCAGAGCUUCCUUCCAUCUUUCAUCAUUCCCUUUCUUUCCAAGCAGCAUGCUUGUAUAUGUUACUCUUCAAUCUAAAAUUCAUGUGGCUAGUAUAUAUGUAUAUGUGUAUGCAUAUGUAUGUGUAUAUCACAUUAUAUAUCCAAAGGUGACUGUAACAAGAACUCCUGCCCUUUAUGCUCUUCUGUAAUAUGACUUCUCUACAUAUCCAUGGAGAAGUAGAGUGCAUUCCUGUACCCUUUAAAUCCUGGGACUGCUUUGACUAAUAGAAUGUCACAGAAGUGACAUCGUUUCUCUUCUGGGGGAAGACUUUAACUGGCAUGACAGCUUCUGCUUCUUGCUUCUCAGAAGCCAGUUGCCACAAGAAGUGAAACUCUUUUUCUGUGGUAUCUCAGCUACCUGGAGAUGCCUUGGAGGAUAAAAUAUUGUAAAGAGAGACCAAAAGGCCAAGGAGAACAGGGACUCCAGACAUAUAAACAUCUUGGAUGUUCUUCUUGACAUAAGAAGCCAUCUUGGAUAUCUAUCCAUCAAACCUGCAGAAUAUAUAAGAGACUCCAAGAGAUACCUGCCCAUUAAGCCCAGGCAACCAACACAACCAUUGAGACACAAUGCUUCAUUGUUGUUUCAGAUCAUGCAACUUUGAGGUGAUUUGUUAUGCAGUCAUAGAUAACAGAAACAAAAGACAACCAUCAUUUGCCAUAUUAGUUUUUCACUGUGAGUGAAAGCAGGGAAGGCAUUUCCUGAGGAAGUAAUGAUUGAAGUAGUUAUGAAAGAGAAAUAGCAGCUAACUCACAGAAUCAGAGAGGAAAAAGAAUCUCAGAUAUUAAGGGAAAGAAAGCCAUUUGACUGGAGUAAAGAGAGCAAGGGAAAACAUGGUGAGAUGCUAGUCGAGUCCAUGGCCACAUGCCCUUCAAGUUCUGGCACUUCCAAAAAGAAACCAUUCUAUCCCAUGAUGUUCUUUUCCUUUCUCCAUGGGCUAUUGUCAUUCCACUCAUUUAGAAUGUAUUGAUAUGCUUUCUUGGGAAAAUCAGUAUGCAGUUAUGCUGCAAUCAUGUUAACUCAAUAUCCAAUGUGUGUAUAUCACUGAAGUGUAAACUGAAAAUUAUAUUUUCUUGUAUAAAAAAUGGUGUAUAUAUAAUAUGUGUAAUUAUGUUAUGGAUAUAUUGGGUUUUCAAUACAUGUUAAGUGUAUAUUUUAUGAAUGUUGAUGAAAUGAGAUAUGUUUUCUAAGCAUGAUAUAUAUCACUUGUCCUUCAAAGGCUAAAUCUCUUUGCACUACAACAGAACUAUUCAAAACUCUCCUUAAAGUCAGCAGGAAGCUUAAAAAAAAAAUGACCCAGAUAUCAUUUGGCAGCUUCACUAAGUUGCGGUGAAUUAGUCAUCAACUCUUUAAAUCACUCCAGUUUUGCCACAAUGUGGAGACUCACAGUUUGCAAAUUGUCAAAAUAUUAUAACCAAAUUUUAUCUGAAUAUACAUCUACUUUGAUAACAUUUUUUAAAAACAAAGCUUCACAAAUUGGGCAUAAGAGACAUCAGAUCUCCCUCAGUUCUGAGGAGUAGAGUGAUGGGGAUGGGGAAUGCAGAAUUGGUGACAACAAACCUUCUGAAUGAACACAGAAGUUUUUACCUGUAGGUUUUGCUCCAUGACUAGACUCUUGUGUCCUUGACUCUAUCCUGUCAUGUGUUUCUCAUCCUUGUGAUCACUGAUGAGAACUUCACAGCAGGAUGGACCCAGAGUGACCAGAGAAAGGUUUGACUCCAUUUUCUUCCACGUACCUAACCAAAAACUUGAGAAAUUAAGAAAAUAGAACUGGGUGAGAAUGAGAAAAGAUUUAAAAGAAGAGGCAAAAGGAAAAAAAUGUAUUGUCCACAUUUUUUCUUCAGUAAGAACUUCAUAAACAUUCACGUAAGUGACAUUUUUGUCACUAACAUGUUUCGAUCUGGAUUGCUUUCAAUGGGAAAACAUGAAUAAUUAAAGAUGAACAUAGUUCUGCAAAUAUUCUAAUGGUAAUUAUAUCUAAAGGUAAUUCCUAGCCUUCUCAGUGUUAGGAGAGCAGAAAUAAUCAAUGGAUAUGAAUAAAUCAAUAAAAUUAUCAGUAAGCUUUUUUUUU